UCAGAAACUGUUAUGAUGCGAAAGAAGUUGCGAACGACGUCAAAUUUUGCUCGAAAUUCAUUCAUUUACAAAAAUGAUAAAAAAUGUCAUUCUGAGCCUGAAAUUGAUCCUAAUAAGUUUUAAAUUAUUUUUAUUUUUAGUACAAAUAUUUUCUUUUCACCGUUCCAGAGCAUUGUAGAAAAACUUAAUAAAACUAUGAAUAAAAUUUCAGAUGUGAAAAUUAUUUUGAAAAAUAAAAAUACGAAUAUACUCAAUGAUUCUUCGCUAAAUAAAAUCGAUAAUGAUAUUUUUAUUUUAUUAGAUACUGCCCAGUCUGACGUAGAAAAAAGUAUCAAAAAUCUUAUUUCAUUACCAAUUGACAAAUCGAUUAGUGAAAUGACUUCGGAAAAAUUUCAAAAAUUAUUGGGCAAUGAAUUAUCAUAUAUAAAAUACAUGAAACCGAACGGACUACAAGUAUCGCAAUACAUAUCAGAAAAUUUCACUGAUCUUAGCGAUCUGACCUCUUUGGAAACAUUUGUUAAAUCGACUAAGUUAUCAAAAACAAAAACUUUCAAAUCUGAAAUAAAAUAUAAUAAUGAUCUAAAAAUGUAUCAUAAACAAAAGAAAUUGACUGUUAAAUGCAUUUUUUAAUUUACUAGGUUUUACCGAAUAUUGACAAAUGGGGGGUAGAUAUUUUUAAUAUUGAGGAACAAUUUCCAAAUAGAGUUCUCACCGUUGUUGCGUACACAGUUUUUAUGAAUUAUAAUUUGGAUGUAAAAUUAAACAUUCCGUCUGAAAAAAUAAUAAAUUUUAUGGUUCAGCUAGAAGAAAAGUACCAUUCGGAUGUUUUGUAUCAUAACAGUACUCAUGCGGCAGAUGUUUUACAAAGUGUUAAUGUAUUUCUUAAUUUUCCGUGUUUUGAGGUACAAAUAAUGAUAAUACACUCAGGGAGUUUUCUCUGAUUGUGAGAUUUUAGCUGCUCUUCUGGCUGCCGCAAUUCAUGAUGUGGAUCAUCCC